GAGCUCGGCCGCGGCUCCCAGCGCUGCGGCGGGCGGGGGUCGGCCUCGACCGGCGGAGCAACCGCGACUCCUCCAGCGCCGCCGCGUGGGAGAGCGCCACGGCCACCUGGUUGGCGACGGCCUGCACGAUCUCCAGAUCUUGGUUGCUCCAAGUCCACGCCGCUGCAGAUGAAGAUGACCAGAACUAAGAUUGCAUAGCUCGCUGGCUCUGAUGCGCAGCUCCCUCCGUGGAACUUUGGGAUCCGUAUUGCGGCCGCAGCUGCUGCUGGCAGCAGGCCUCUUCCGCUCGCCGCCUCAUGCAGCACGGAGCCUGGCAUGAGCACCCUACGACAAGGACACGCCCGACCGGUGGCACAACAUCGCCCGCGCUGUCGGCGGCAAGUCCGCCGAGGAGGUCAGGCGCUACUACGAGCUACUGGAGGAGGACGUCAAGCACAUCGAGUCCGGCAAGGUGCCCUUCCCCGUCUACCGCUGCCCCGGCGGCCGCCGCCGGCGCCCUCGGCUACGAGACCGACAGGAUGAAGCAUCUGAAGAUCGAGGGAUUCCACGGCAGAGCUUGAGAUGAUUGGUAUCUGCACCUUCAGAUAUCUUUCACACGAUUGGUUCAACAUAACCAUGAAAACCUCAGUACGGUAAGGGAUGUAUUUUCCAACAAAACGGUAAGGGAGCUUGCUAAUAAGCUCCUCCACUUUGUGGGAAAUCAAUUUUUUGGUAUAUCUUUAUUAGGCUAAUCACACAUUUGGUUUAUACUAUCAACUCUGAUUUUGGCUUGCUUACCAACAAUUAUUUUCUUAGUGCGUUUCUCAUGUCCAGGGAGUUACCAUUUGUGCAACAAAUUAAAAGUAGAACGCUUCUUCUUUUGCUAACCUUAUUGUGGUUAGUACUUUUCUUUUUCUCAUUCGCAUAUAAAUAAACUAUUGUUGCCACCAUCUUAGCUUACUUUCAUGCUAUGUUUUUAAAGCGGUAAGGCGAGGCGAGCGAUCCACCACCGCCUUAUCGCCUAGGCGACGCCUAGGCGGGCUAAGGCUGGCUAAGGCGAGACCUUAAGCAAGGCGAGCCGCCACCGCCUUGUCGCCUAGGCGACGCCUUGAAAACAGAGCUUUCAUGCGCCAUGAGCCGUUUAUUAGUCAACACUAUAGUGCUUGAAUGCAGAGAAAAAGGACAAGCCCCCCAAUGCUGAAAUAAUAAGCCAAAAUGAACCUCAUCCAUCAAACUCUUCAGUGCAGCAAUGAGAGGUAGCUGCUUAGUCAUAAUGUUCGAUUCAAGGUAUGUACCAAAUUUUCCUCAUCAUAAUUUGUGCUCCACUCUUCAACCUUUGCUUACCAAAUUUUUGUGCUCCACUCUUCUGCCAAAAGGUCUGCUACCGAUGAAAACUACUGUCUACAUAUUUAGAUCUACAUUUUACAGCUACUACCUGCGCCUCAUAAUUUAGACCUACUUACUUUGUUUUUUGUCGUUCCAUCUUAUUCCCCAGGAUUUCCAGUGACAGAGUUUCGCUAGGCAAUGCUUUAGAUCCUGUCAUCCACCAAGGUAUUCCAUUCCUCUUUUGGUCUGUGUAGGCCUCAAAGAACAAUAAAGUUUUAAAUAAAGAUUAGUACCUUUUUGUUUUUGCUUGAAGUGGUCCAGAGAUACUAUAUAUUUGGAGUUCUCUGGAAAACUGGUUAAAUAGUCUCCCAUCACAAAAUAUGUUUGCUAAAUAAUUAAAAUAAGACUCAC